GAGAAGCUGCGGUAUUAUAACUGUACUAAGGUAACAUAAUUUGCUCUAUAAAUUGGGGCUAGAAUGAAUGGUUUCACGAAAAUUAAACUGUCUCUGUUUUAUUUAUUAGAAAUUAAUUUUUAUAGUGAGAAAGCUUGAAUAGUUUAAAGGGACGAGAAGACCCUAUUGAGCUUAUAUUAUUAGUUUAAUAUAUAUUAAGUGAAAUUAAUUUUAGUUGGGGUGAUCAAAGAAUAAUGAUUUUAAUUUAUAAUAACUUCUUUAGUGUAAUAAGUUUGAUGAAUUGAUAAACCAAGUUUUUUUUGCCUAUAAGAUAAGUUACCAUAGGGAUAACAGCAUAAUUUUUUUUGAGAGUUCUUAUUGAAAGAAGUGAUUGCGACCUCGAUGUUGGAUUAAAAUUAACCUUAAGGUGUAGAGG
rnacentral:rRNA from 1 species